AAAGCACCAGCUGCUUAGAAAGGCAGGUUUCAAGGAAAAUAUCAUCUCAAUGUGAGCCAGCAGUGGCCCUGGCAGCCCCGAGGGCACACCCCACCCUGGGGUGCAUCAAACACAGCACAAGAGCCGGGUAAAACAGGUCACUGUCCUGCUGUGCCCAGCCCUGGGGUGGCCUCACCUGAGCCCUGCGAGCUGUGCUGGGCCCACAGUUCAAGAAGGAUGUUCAGGUCUCUGAAUGCAUCCAGAGGAGGGGAACAAAGCUGCUGAAAGGGCUGGAAGGAAUGUCCUGUAAGGAGUGGCUGAGGACUCAGGGCUUGUCUAGUUUGGAGAAAAGGAGGCUGACUGGUGACCGUGCUACUUUCUGCAGCUUCCUGAAGAGUGGAAAUGAAGAAGGAGAAAAUAUCUCAUGACAGAAUUCCUGAAGACUCACAAAUGAGCAAGAAGAACCAAAUAAGGCUUCCCAGAGAGGUCCAGCAUCUGAAGUAGGCCUGGAAUUUUGGACAGAAUUUUACUUUGAACUUUUGUUUGCAUUGAAAACAAAUUGGAAACUUGGAUUAAAAAUAAAACAAAACAAAACUGAGAAAGGAAGGAAGAUGAAAAAGAGCACCUUAUGUGGAUCAAAUGAGAGUGAAAUGAAUUGUGUAGCUCUAUUACCUAGUGCAUUCUGGCUAGAUGAUAGAGUGAAGCUUCUACUUUUCAUUAUCUUCAUAUAAAUGUAAUACAAAAAGAUUUACAUGGUCUUUUCUAUUACUGUUUAUACCAGAAUCUGUGUAUUUAACACUUCAGUCUAAAGGAUUCAAAUCUGCCACAGUAUCACUAAGAGUGAUCCAGAAGUGUAAGUGAACUCUGUUUUCUCUUUAGGUUCUAGAAAUCUCUUGCCUUUUACUUAAGAUUUCCAUAAAGAGGAACAAUUUAUUUAUUACAGCCUUCCAGUAUUUUAAGGGAGCCUCCAGAAAAGA